UACGUAGGGUGCGAGCGUAAUCGGAAUUACUGGGCGUAAAGCGUGCGCAGGCGGUUAUGUAAGACAGAUGUGAAAUGCCCGGGCUUAACCUGGGAACUGCAUUUGUGACUGCAUGGCUAGAGUUUGGCAGAGGGGGGUAGAAUUCCACGUGUAGCAGUGAAAUGCGUAGAUAUGUGGAGGAACACCGAUGGCGAAGGCAGCCCCCUGGGUCAAGACUGACGCUCAUGCACGAAAGCGUGGGGAGCAAACGAGG
rnacentral:rRNA from 1 species